GCGGCCUAUCAGCUUGUUGGUGAGGUAAUGGCUCACCAAGGCUACGACGGGUAUCCGGCCUGAGAGGGCGACCGGACACACUGGGACUGAGACACGGCCCAGACUCCUACGGGAGGCAGCAGUGGGGAAUAUUGGGCAAUGGACGCAAGUCUGACCCAGCGACGCCGCGUGCGGGAUGAAGGCCUUCGGGUUGUAAACCGCUUUCAGCAGGGAAGAAGCGAAAGUGACGGUACCUGCAAAAGAAGCACCGGCUAACUAUGUGCCAGCAGCCGCGGUAAUACAUAGGGUGCAAGCGUUGUCCGGAAUUAUUGGGCGUAAAGAGCUCGUAGGUGGUUCGAUACGUCGGAUGUGAAAAUCUGGGGCUCAACCCCAGACCUGCAUUCGAUACGGUCGAGCUAGAGUUUGGUAGGGGAGACUGGAAUUCCU
rnacentral:rRNA from 1 species